GCUAGUAUCUCACAGUCUGGGUAGGUGGCGCUAUGAGUUGAUCUAGGUGUAUACAUACCAUCUGUCAACAGACGGGAUAUAUUUUCCGUGACAAAACGCAAAUUUUAAAUUUGACCUUCCGUUGAAACGACCAAAUGAAACCAGUGUCAAAUGAACGAGAUAAGUAACACUUAGUGUGUUGUGCAAUAAUAACUUUUCUUUGCCUCAAGACUAGUUUGGACUUGAUAGCAACGAGAUCGGGUUGUCACUAGGUUAUAAUUUUGUGUAUGUUAUUUUCAAGUCUCACACGAGCGUUAUGCUAAAGGAGACGACAGAAAUACCCCAAAAAGUGAAGGUUGUCUUGCGGUUUUAUUUGGUAAAAUAAUUUUGUCUCGGCUUUUUACAAACUUUAUGAGAAUACAAUCGUCUCAGACCAAAUAUAUGUUUUCUGUGCAGAUUCUGAAGAUCUACUGAUACACUUUUAUCUUCUUCAUUAGACGGUCCUCAUCAUGCUUCACAGGAUAUGAAUCGCAUGAUAGAUUUACUGUAUUAAGAGCAACAGAUUUCGUUCCAUCAAUCAAUCGACUGAUACAUCUUCUGUGGUGCUCAUUAGAAGAAGAAAAAAAACAUCCCACCUGUUCGUGAAGUCACUGAUCCAUAUCUAGUCUGGUAACAUUCAUGUACUCUAACAUUUGACCAAACAACACAUCAGACUGACUGGCUCGAACCAUCUUCGGAAUUUUCCUGUACAUCUUCAAUUUCGUUACCAACUUCAUCGUAGUUUAUAACAGAAGAUACAAAAUAACAGGCCUACCAUAAAGGAUAAAAGAU